rnacentral:rRNA from 1 species
GACGAACGCUGGCGGCGUGCUUAACACAUGCAAGUCGAACGAUGAACCGGUUUCGGCCGGGGAUUAGUGGCGAACGGGUGAGUAACACGUGGGCAAUCUGCCCUGCACUCUGGGAUAAGCCCGGGAAACUGGGUCUAAUACCGGAUACGACACUCCGAGGCAUCUUGGGGUGUGGAAAGUUCCGGCGGUGCAGGAUGAGCCCGCGGCCUAUCAGCUUGUUGGUGGGGUAAUGGCCUACCAAGGCGACGACGGGUAGCCGGCCUGAGAGGGUGACCGGCCACACUGGGACUGAGACACGGCCCAGACUCCUACGGGAGGCAGCAGUGGGGAAUAUUGCACAAUGGGCGAAAGCCUGAUGCAGCGACGCCGCGUGAGGGAUGACGGCCUUCGGGUUGUAAACCUCUUUCAGCAGAGAAGAAGCGAAAGUGACGGUACCUGCAGAAGAAGCACCGGCUAACUACGUG